UCCAUUGGUUUGGCUUCUAAGUACGCAUUCUCUGAUUACUUCAUGAGGCAUGCCUCGGGGUCAUCAAGACAUCACCCUCAUGCCAUGUCCGUACUGCCCACAGGUAUGUGGUUACAUAUAUUCCAAGAUUUCUUUGGAUAUGAGUUGGUGGCGGUGUUACUGAUUUUAACAUGAUUAGGGGCCGACAUGCCUGGUGUUAUAUUCUUUUUCCGAUUCUCUGCGAGGAAAUGGAGGCUGCAAGAUAUAUUUUGGUUACAUAUAUUCCAAGAUUUCUUUGGAUAUGUAUGCUCAAAUGCACAAAUAAGGCUUCCAUUAUUUAACAAAAUAAUCUCGAACUGUUUUUUAAAUGAUGAUACCAGGCUAUGCAGGUUAUCAGAUCAAUUCUAUAUUAUGACUUCUCAGGCUUGAACCCUGCCCAAAGAGCUUACUAAGAAUUAGAUAAAUCACACAAUGCACAUGCCUACAUUCUGUUUAUUUGUUUGCAAAACUAUUUACUUUUUUCUCAUGAAUUCUGAGAUGUCUAAGUGGUGUGCCUUAUGCUAAAUGUGUGACCCUAUGUAUUGGUUUAGUAGCCUUGGUAAUAUUUUUUCUUUAAAUGGCUAGAGGAGGCAGGCAAGCAAGAUGUGGACCGACGGAGUGGUUCGAUCUGUGAUCCAUUAUUGGUUGAACGGAGUUGUGCAAAAAGAUGACAGUCAAAUUUUUGGUGAUUGUCUGAGACAUGCUACAAAUAAUCUUUCUCAGGAAUCUGCUGCAAAAGCAAUUACUGCCUUGUCAAGGGGAAACAAUGGACAUGAUGCCAGUUGCAGAUCCGGAUGCAAUUCAUGCAUCUCCCACCUUUAUUAAGAAGGAACUCACCAUUCAACUCAAAGAUGAUCUUGCAGCAGCUGUAAGUGACAGUAAGCAAUCACUACAUUUGAUCUGAAAAUUGUGGCCGUGUGCUCUAUUUCAGUAACUAUACGGGGAAUUCAGUUAGCAUUAUCAUAUUGAGUUUGAGUUUUGAUAACAAACACUGGCCAAACAGGUUUUAUGCAGUGCCCCAAAAGAAUACGUCCACCUACAGGUCUGUAGCACAACCCUCUACCUAUCAAUCAGUACAAUUGUCCUCAUGUUAUUUGAAGAGGAUUAUUCUUUUAUUUUUUUGGUUCCCAAAGUCGUCCUGUGAAAACAGAUCCGCACUAUGUAAGGUCAUGUAUCUAUGUAAACCAUUAAGUCUUGCUGAGGUAUUACUGAUUCUUUUAUUUGAAGAGGAUUAUUCUUUUAUUUUUUUGGUUCCCAAAGUCGUCCUGUGAAAACAGAUCCAUCCAAGACACCACACCACAAACAGACUAAAACAUCAAGUCUUGCUGAGGUAUUACUGAUUCUCCCGUUUUCUGUUAUAAGUUCUCUUGCUGGUCAGACUAAUGUUGGUACUUGAGUGCAUCACGUUGGUGAUUGCUCUUGUGGAGUGCAACUAUAAUGUAUGAUUGGUUGAUUCUCAUUUCCGGUUUUAUGUAUCAUUGAUGCUCUGAAGGUUACUGUUGUAGGCAUCAAUUGGGCUAUUACGAUAUUCCUAGAAUUUAUUAGGACACAUACCAGAAGAGUUGUCCGCACCCUGCUCGCCAUUGUCCUCCGCCUCUGGGGCGUUCUGAGUUAGGUCUUGGUUUAGAUGAUCAACAAAAGAAGAAAAAUAAAUGGUUAACUCAAGUUGCUCACGAGUGUUUACUUUAUAUUCAGCUUGAGAUGGAUAAAUCCAUAGCAAAGCCAUCCCAGCGCCACAAGCAGAAUCACAAGAGGUAAAGAAUCUUCUCAACAGGUGAUGAAAUAAAUUUAUAGACUAAUCAGUUGGGGCUCUAUGACAUACUUUGAAUUCGUCUUGCUUUCUAACAAACAAGCAAUUUAUUGCAUAUUUCUGAAUUCAGAGUGUAUCUGAACCCGCAAGCAAUAUGUCCAUGCUUUUGAACCAGCAAGAUGUUAUUAGUGUUGCUUUUGGACCUGAGGCUUGUUCUGUAAUCUGUAGUAAUAAGGCACUGCCAAAUUUAGCACUGCGUUUACUGUAGAGUUUUUCUUAACCUGGCUAUCAAGUUUCAGUGUGUUUCUGUAAGUAACAAUUAACAGUAGUAGUAUCACUGUGUAAGUCACCAUAUUCUGUUGUAGGAUUAGUGAUCUUAGACCGUCAUUUUA